AUGUGCCCAUCUUCUCCACC
rnacentral:miRNA from 1 species